rnacentral:rRNA from 1 species
UACGUAGGGGGCAAGCGUUGUCCGGAAUCAUUGGGCGUAAAGAGCGUGUAGGCGGCCUGGUAAGUCCGCUGUGAAAGUCCAGGGCUCAACCCUGGAAUGCCGGUGGAAACUGUCAGGCUCGAGUCCGGAAGAGGCGAGUGGAAUUCCUGGUGUAGCGGUGAAAUGCGCAGAUAUCAGGAGGAACACCAAUGGCGAAGGCAGAUCUCUGGGCCGACACUGACACUGAGAGACGAAAGCUAGGGGAGCGAAUGGG